GGGCCUGUCGUCUAGCCUGGUUAGGACGCUGCCCUCACACGGCAGUAAUCGAGGGUUCAAAUCCCUCCGGGCCCA
rfam:Candidatus Acidianus copahuensis strain ALE1 ctg7180000000560, whole genome shotgun sequence.